CUUGCGGCUGCUACCAUGCAGUCGAACGUGAUCCGCCCUUCGGGGUGGUGAAAGUGGCGCACGGGUGAGUAACGCGUGGAUAAUCUGCCCGAGGAUUUGGGAUAACAUCUCGAAAGGGGUGCUAAUACCGAAUAAGCCCACGGGGUCUACGGAUCUUGCGGGAAAAGGGGGGGACCUUCGGGCCUCCUGUCCUUGGAUGAGUCUGCGUACCAUUAGCUAGUUGGUGGGGUAAUGGCCUACCAAGGCGACGAUGGUUAGCUGGUCUGAGAGGAUGAUCAGCCACACUGGAACUGAGACACGGUCCAGACUCCUACGGGAGGCAGCAGUGGGGAAUUUUGCGCAAUGGGGGAAACCCUGACGCAGCAACGCCGCGUGGGUGAUGAAGGCCUUCGGGUCGUAAAGCUCUGUCUGGAGGGAAGAAAUGAUUGGGAGCUAAUACCUCUUGAUCUUGACGGUACCUCUGAAGGAAGCACCGGCUAACUCCGUGCCAGCAGCCGCGGUAAUACGGAGGGUGCAAGCGUUGUUCGGAAUUAUUGGGCGUAAAGCGCGUGUAGGCGGUCUUUUAAGUCUGAUGUGAAAGCCCCGGGCUCAACCUGGGAAGUGCAUUGGAAACUGGGAGGCUUGAGUACGGGAGAGGAGAGUGGAAUUCCUAGUGUAGGAGUGAAAUCCGUAGAUAUUAGGAGGAACACCGGUGGCGAAGGCGGCUCUCUGGACCGAUACUGACGCUGAGACGCGAAAGCGUGGGUAGCAAACAGGAUUAGAUACCCUGAUAGUCCACGCCGUAAACGAUGAGUACUACGUGUUGCGGGUAUUGACCCCU
rnacentral:rRNA from 1 species